rnacentral:lncRNA from 1 species
UUUUUUUUGGGUCAAAAGAUCGAUUUAAAAACAUAUUUUGAUGAUAAUUUUAUAUGUAUUAUAUGUUUCGUUCAAUAUUAGAAAAUUUUAUUUUUUAUCAGCUUAGUGGUAUCACAAAAUGACGAUGAUUGAUGAUUUAUGUUGGUUAUUAAACCAUCAAACAUUGCAUCUAAUUUAAUAUCUAAAUUAGUAGAUAAAUAAAUUUAUGAGUGGUCCAUUUUUCAUUUUCUAAUAAGGAAUACAAGAAAAUGUUGACAAAAAAA